UCUGCUCAAUGAAAAUUAAAUAGCCGCAGAUAUUCUGUGCUAAGGUAGCAUAAUCAUUUGUUUUUUAAUUAAAAACUAGAAUGAAAGAUUUAACGUUUUAAUUUCUUUAUUAUUAAUAUAUUUUUAAAUUAUAUUAAAUAUAAAAAUAUAUUUAUAUAAAAAAUAGACGACAAGACCCUAUUAAACUUUACUAUUAGUUAAGCUGGGGCAGCUAAUUAAUUAUAAUUUUAAUUUAUUUAUUAUUUUUAAAAAAUUUCCAAUUUUAUUGAUUAUUUAAACAAGUUACUAUAGGGAUAACAGCAUAAUAUUAUUUUAAAGUUCAUAUUAAAAAUAAUGUUUAUGACCUCGAUGUUGAAUUAUUAUUCUAUUUAAUGCAAUAGUUAAAAAAGUAGGUCUGUUCGACCUUUAAUAUAUUACA
rnacentral:rRNA from 1 species